GGGAAAAAUCAGACGCAGGAACUCGAAAGCGAACAGGGUGGACGCUGGAGAGAAGACUUGCUUGAGCCUCACGGCGCAGUGAACCUGAGCCUACGUUCUCUCAGGUAGCAGCACUGCAUAGAUUGUUGCAGGCUCUCUGCAGGGACUAGUCGUGCUGUGCCAGCUAUGAGAUGGCUGCUCCUGCAUCUCAGUGCUUCCUCACAAUUUUCAAGAGGCAAAAUGAGCUUCAGGUGUGAGAAAAGAAAUGCUUCUUUCCUAUGGAAUAAGAAAUGGCAAAAGGGACAUCCCUGACAGGAGGGUCAUCCGUGCUGAAUCACAGGUGCCUGCUCUGACUCACAGCCAGAGACUCCCAGCUAGAGAGCUGCACAAGAAAAGGAAAUCCAGGCUAUCCAGAGGAUGUUCUGAAUGGAGGAACUACCCAGAAUUGAAUUGCCAGAUGGGUCUGAUCUUGAAGCCACGCAUAAAUUGGUCUGGCUGUCUAUAAAUUAAGUGGAGGAAAGACAUUUUAAAACAAGAAAAAGUAUGCACUACGGAGACUUACAAACUACCUAAAAAUGCCUGAUACAGACCAGAAUAGUUGAAAUUAUCAGUAAGGAAAGAAGACGGCUUCUCUCUGCCUCACUGCCUGCAGAGGAAUGUUGGAUUAGUGCAGCAGCCAACAGGAGCCAACACAGACAUGAAAAGUACCGUAAUGCAGCCAAGAUUAAAUACUAGAGCUAUGCUGAGGAACAUCUGAGCCAUCUAUGAAAGCAGAAACCCUCAUACACUGCAAAGCAGGUAGCAGAAAACAGCCAUUUCCAGAAACCAAAGGAAGUGUUUUCAGGGAAAGAACUAAAUGUGUCUUGGUAUCAGAGCUGUGAUCUACAUGCCAGGCUAGAGGACCAGUGUCAAGGUCACAUCAAAGCUACCGGACUGAUGUGCUAGUGUUAGAGUUUGGGCUUUGGUACUGGGAAACUGUGUGGAAAAUAGAAAAAUCUCCAGAUACUCUGAAAGUUAUUGGCUCUGAGCUAUACCCUGAAUUGGUCCUGCUCACUCAGGCAUCAUCAGCAAAGGUCUUCCAUAAGAAAAUACUUAAUGGAUGCGGGGUCCUAACAACCUCCUUAGGGUCAGCACACGGAGGCAAUCCCCAAUUUACAGCUGCGAGGAAAGAUGACUUGUGGCAAGUUCAUUCUCUUUUCUAGCAGAGCUUAUGGACUUCUGGGAAGUAAGGGGUCUAUUUCCAGGGCGAGGACAAGUCAGAUAAAAAGUCUGUGGGCAUUGACUUCCUCACUUUCAGCAGGACAUUGCUGCAGGACAUUUACUGUGUUUUCCAUAUGACAUUGCUGCAGAGGCAGGCAGUCCAGGGCCAGUGAGGGAUGGAGAAGUAUCUGGUAGACAAUGAUUCCUUUGGGACUGUACUGUCUAGAAGAUGGAAGAGGGCCAGGAGAGAUCAAAGGCAUAGUGUCUGCUAAAAAAUAGUGAUUACAGCUGUGUCCAUGUAUGGUUGUGGGGGGUAUUCUGUUUUCUGUUUUGAUUUAAUUAUUAGGCUGUUAGAAAAUAUUAUUUCAGUUCAAUUUCAAAGCAUUUUUUUUUGUGAAUUAAAAAAAUGUUACAGAUUCUUUUUUACUCAAACAUAAGUGUGUGUGUAUGUAGUUGCAGCUACAUAGGCUCUCAUCAUGGCAUUUUAAGGGUAAGCUUAGUUUCUUAUGGAGUUACAUUAUAAAAUUGUGUGUAAAACUGAAAUGGUUCACUGAAAGGGAAACUAUAAAACAGUAUAAAGAUU